CUACGGGUCGCAGCAGUGGGGAAUAUUGGACAAUGGGGGAAACCCUGAUCCAGCAAUGCCGCGUGUGUGAAGAAGGCCUGCGGGUUGUAAAGCACUUUCGGUUGGGAGGACUGCUUCUAGCACUAAUAUUGUUGGAAGUUGACGUUACCUUCAGAAGAAGCACCGGCUAACUCCGUGCCAGCAGCCGCGGUAAUACGGAGGGUGCAAGCGUUAAUCGGAAUUACUGGGCGUAAAGCGCGCGUAGGCGGCUAGAUCAGUCGGGUGUGAAAGCCCCGGGCUUAACCUGGGAACUGCAUCCGAUACUGUCUAGCUUGAGUACAGGAGAGGAGAGUGGAAUUCCACAUGUAGCGGUGAAAUGCGUAGAUAUGUGGAGGAACACCAAUGGCGAAGGCAGCUCUCUGGCCUGAUACUGACGCUGAGGUGCGAAAGCGUAGGGAGCAAACAGGAUUAGAUACCCUCGUAGUC
rnacentral:rRNA from 1 species